CUAGCAGCUUAUGCGAGAAGCAGCAAGAAUGUAGCCCAAGACUUCUGGAAGGGAAGGCUGUGCCUUCAUUUAACGUGCCCAUUUGUUCACAGGACAUGUUUGUGAGAAAUGUUUUUGGUGUUAUGACAUCCGCAUCGAAGAGAGAAAGGAAAUGAAGCCAUAUUUCAGGUUGUUAGCUACUCUGGUGCUUCUGCAUGUGUAUCAUCAUGUCUGAGACUUCAGGGAUUUUCUUUGUCUGGACAAGCUGCCAGUCUGGACUGCUAAGUUGGCCAGGAGGAACCAGUGGCAAACUGCCCCCAACAGUUUACCCUCAGCUGCAUUU
rnacentral:lncRNA from 1 species